CUGGAAUCUUGCUCUAAGCAAGCCUCUCUCAGGUCCCCAGGAAGCCCCAGCUUGGAGAGGGAAACACCACAGACAAGGUGAUGGGCCUGUCAGAGCUGCCCUCCAACUCUUCUUCUCCUGAGUUCUGCAGUGCCAACACCUGCCUCUGGAUGGUCCACAGAGCCUCAGACUCUGCCCGUUCACUCACUCACCCAACUAACUAGCAUCUCCAUAAAGGCCCCUAUUCUAGGCAUAGGGAGUGCAUAUAAAGGAGACCUAGACUCUGCCCUCAGCAAGCUCAAGGUCAGGGGGAAGAGCUCCUAAGCUAACAGUUCAAGGUGAUGAGCUAAAGGGAACUAAUGGGGAGGACUUCCUUGGGGAAAGGAGGUCUCAGCUGAGACCUGAGAAUGAGAAGAGUCAACUAGGCAGGGAGGUAGAGGAGAAGGCCCUGUGGGUGGAGACCAGCAUGCAGCAUUUGAUCUUCAUAGGAAGAGCUGGAGUUACCAUUCCCGAUAAGAAACAGGCCUGGAGAGUUGGGCCUGGAGAGUUAGGGACAGUCCUAUCCCAGUACCCAGUUCCUAUGCUCUAUCUGCUGCCUUCUAUUAAAAGAAGCAUGCAAAUAAUAUGCAAAAUACAUGCAAAUCACACACCCUCCUCGGCUCUGAGUCCUGCUCCAAGGGCUGUCUGGCUGUUGACUUAGGCCCCAGGACAACCUCUGGGAAGCCUUUAGUCCAGAACCCUCCCUUCAUUCCUGCCACACGAAGCCCCCAGCACUUCUGCCUUCAUUUUCUGCCCUUUUUCUCCCCCACCCCUUAAAUCCGGGCUCCAUUCCUGAGCUUUUGUCCCUGGGUGACUUUUUCAAUUCUCCUGGGUGCUAAUCCUCUCCACACUGCCCCUGGUUGACUUAGGAUGCCCUCCCUUGUACUCCUCCCUCCUGUCCUGCCUGUGGCCUGGUUGGGGACCCUUCUUAGCCUGCAGCUCUGCCACCUUUCCUUGCCCCUUCACACCCAAGGCCUCAGGGUCACCUCUGCUGAUUUGCCCCUGGUCCAUGCAGGGGCCACAUACCAGGCUUCUGCCAUGGCCAGGCUGAAGAGGGUGAACCUGUUUUCUGAGACAUCAGUGCGGUAGAAACCCCAGAACUGGCCCCUGGGACGUUUGGAGGAAGCAGAAAGGGGGUGUGGGGCAAC
rnacentral:lncRNA from 1 species